AUAUAACAUAGUUAGGAGUAGCACAACAAAAUAUCUUGGAUGUGCAUACUAUCCUAGCAAACCUUUUAAAACAACUUUAUGCUUGAAUUAAACUCCUGACCACUGCUGGGAUAAAGGACUGCAAGCCUCGGCGUGAGUGUGCAAGCAGCAUCAACAAUAACAACAAAGUUCCUGAAAGAGCAUGACACGGUGUCAAGGUUUUAUGAUUUUUGGUUAUCGGUAUUCCACACCAUAACAUCAUGUAAUGUAUGUAUCUGGACAUAUGAGAGUAUGAGAAGGACUACUACAUUCCCCAGGGGACUUUGCUCCCCUGUUACCGUUUUCCGGUCAGAGGGAAAGAUAAAAGCUCGCAGAUCACGAGAGCUGUUUUUCUCUUUCCGCCUGUCUCUCGUCCCGGCAGCAUCUCGCUCCCCAGCCAUCUCACUGUCAGUACUAGAGUAAGGCCUACCUUAACUUUGGACACUCUCUCUCACUGUAUUGGAUUUAUCAGCUUAAAUUGUAAUUACAAUGUGUUAUUUUGCAUUCCGAUAUCUUAUUUAGUAAAUUAGUUUGUUUCUCCUCAGAUUGUUGCCUCUGUUUUGUUCUCAGGCCCAUCUCCCUACCCUUUUUUCCCUUUUCCCUUCCCAGGGCAUGGGUCCGCCCCAUUUGUCACGGAACCAGGCCGAACCUGCCCGUACACCGCUGACACACAGCUACAAUGCCAUCAGUUUGUACAUCUGUUUUCUGGUAGACAUCUGGACUCACAUCUUGAAGCGGACAGCAAACUGGCAAAAGAGAUGUGCUAUUAUUUCUUGAUUGCAGACAUUCUCACAAAAAUGACACCAGGCUGGAAGAAGCACAUGUUCUUACAGGCUAAAAUGUUACUCAGGGCCACAGCCUUCUUCAGUUAUGAUUUACCACUGCUUUCUUACAGCACUCAGCUAAGAAGGUGGGCAAUAAAUGAAAGCAAAGGAGAAGUCUAACGGACCAAGGAAACUUUUCUGCACAGUUCCCUUCAGUCUUUUUCAUCCAUCAGUUUAUCUCUACUGAACUCUAUGGCAGAGUAAAGAAUCAAAGAAAUGCACUUGUCAGAAAUAUCUCCUAGAAUACAAAUAUCACAUGCCCAAAGCACCAAAAGAAUAUCUUAUGUAUGUUAUGGUCCUGCAUGUACUAAUCUAACACAUUACCUAGUUUGCAACUGCUGCCCAAGCACUGCAGCUCUACCUUCACUCAAAGCAUGCAGCUUGAAUCACAGUAUUAACCUACACAAAGAAACAUAAAUAGGACAGUCUCUUAGACACAGAGCUACUACUUCUGAGCCUACGAGGCAGAGUCUGACAGAAGUGGUAAGUAGCAGCCAAAAUAAGUUCAAGGAAGGGAACUUCAGCACAGGGGAGAUCUCUCAGAAACAGUUUUCCUACAAGCCCUCAUCAGGUAAAAAUUAGCAAGCCAUAAUAAAGGAAGCAAGGGCUCAAACA
rnacentral:lncRNA from 1 species